rnacentral:rRNA from 1 species
AAUUAUAAAUUUAUUUAUUUUAUUUAUUUGUUGAAAUUAAUAUAAAUAAUUUUAUUUAAAUGUUUAUUUAGUAUAUUUUAUAGAAAAAUAUUUUUUAAUUAUAGUUUAUUAGUAUUGUAAAAGAAAAUUAUUAAUUUAAAUUUUUUAAAAGUAGAAUUAAUUUUUUGUACCUUGUGUAUCAGGGUUUAUUAAAAUAAUAUUAAAGAUUUUAAUUUUCUCGAAUUUAAGAGGGAAAAUAAAUUAUUUCUUUUAUUGUAAAAAAAAUAUUUAAAAUAAUUUAUUAGUAAUGAAAUGUUAUUCGUUCUUAAAAAUAUCUAGUUUGUUUAGAAAUGAAUUUAAUUCAGAUUAUUAAUUAAUUUAAUUUAAUUAAUUAAUUUAAAUUUAAUUAAUAAUUAAUAAUUAAAGGGAUAAGCUUUUAAUUAAAUAUUUAAAAAUUGAGUUUUAUUUAAAUAAAUAUGUAAGUUUAGAAAUAUCUAUCAAUUAUAAUUUGUUAUAAUUAAUUUAUUUAAGAAUAUUAUUUAAUAUUAUUUUAAAUUUUUUAUAAACAUAAAUUUAUUAAUAAAAUAUAAUUAGUAAUAAUGAUAAAAUUAGUAUAUUUAAGUAUAUGAAUAUUUAUAUUUAGAAUUUUAUUUAAAGGAAUUCGGCAAAUAUUUUACUCGCCUGUUUAACAAAAACAUCUCUUUUUGAUUUAUAUAAAAAGUAUAACCUGCCCACUGAAAUUAUUUAAAUGGCCGCAGUAUUUUAACUGUGCAAAGGUAGCAUAAUAAUUAGUUUUUUAAUUUAAAGCUUGUAUGAAUGGUUGGACGAGGUAAAUUCUGUCUUUAAAUAAUUAAAAUAGAAUUUAAUUUUUAAGUUAAAAAGCUUAAAUUUUAUUAAAAGACGAGAAGACCCUAUAGAUCUUUAUUAUUUAAAAAUAAAUUUAAAAUUAGAAAUUUAAUUAAUUUUUUUUUUAAAUAAUUUUAUUGGGGUAAUAUAAAAAUUAAAAUAAUUUUUUAUUUUUUUUUUACAUAAAUAUAUGGUUUAUUUGAUCCAUUAAUAAUGAUUAUAAGAUUAAGUUACCUUAGGGAUAACAGCGUAAUUUUUUUGAAAGAGUUCAUAUCGAUAAAAAAGAUUGCGACCUCGAUGUUGGAUUAAAAGUAAUUUUAGGUGCAGAAGCUUAAAGUUUUGGUCUGUUCGACCAUUAAAUUUUUACAUGAUCUGAGUUCAGACCGGUGUAAGCCAGGUCGGUUUCUAUCUUUAAUUUUAUUUUUAUAUUUUAGUACGAAAGGACCAAAUAUAAUAUAUAUUAAUAUAUAAAUUUUUGAAUAUUAUU